AGAGCGAACGUUAGCGGCGGGCCUAACACAUGCAAGUCGAGCGAGAAAGUGGCUUCGGCCAUUAGUAAAGCGGCGGACGGGUGAGUAACACGUAGGUAAUCUUCCUUCGAGCGGGGGACAACGUUCCGAAAGGGACGCUAAUACCGCAUACGUUUCUCGGGACUCCGGUCCUGGGAAGGAAAGCUAGGUAGCAAUAUCCGGCACUCGAUGAGGAGCCUGCGUAGCAUCAGCUAGUUGGUGGGGUAAUGGCCUACCAAGGCUAAGACGCUUAGCUGGUCUGAGAGGAUGAUCAGCCACACUGGGACUGAGACACGGCCCAGACUCCUACGGGAGGCAGCAGUGGGGAAUAUUGGACAAUGGGCGCAAGCCUGAUCCAGCAAUGCCGCGUGUGUGAAGAAGGUCUUCGGAUUGUAAAGCACUUUCGACGGGGACGAUGAUGACGGUACCCGUAGAAGAGCCCGGCUAACUCGUGCCAGCAGCCGCGGUAA
rnacentral:rRNA from 1 species